CCUACGGGUGGCAGCAGUGGGGAAUAUUGGACAAUGGGGGCAACCCUGAUCCAGCCAUGCCGCGUGUGUGAAGAAGGCCCUCGGGUUGUAAAGCACUUUCAGUGAGGAAGAACGCCUGGUGGUUAAUACCCAUCAGGAAAGACAUCACUCACAGAAGAAGCACCGGCUAGCUCCGUGCCAGCAGCCGCGGUAAUACGGAGGGUGCGAGCGUUAAUCGGAAUUACUGGGCGUAAAGCGCGCGUAGGUGGCUUGAUAAGCCGGUUGUGAAAGCCCCGGGCUCAACCUGGGAACGGCAUCCGGAACUGUCAAGCUAGAGUGCAGGAGAGGAAGGUAGAAUUCCCGGUGUAGCGGUGAAAUGCGUAGAGAUCGGGAGGAAUACCAGUGGCGAAGGCGGCCUUCUGGACUGACACUGACACUGAGGUGCGAAAGCGUGGGUAGCAAACAGGAUUAGAUACCCUAGUAGUC
rnacentral:rRNA from 1 species